CCAGAAGGCACGGAUGAAUUGUUGAGAGCUUUUACGGUCUUAAUUGAUGUAGUCCACAUCUAAUGAUGCAUAUGUUUUGGAAGUCAUCACAAGACAUUCUGCUCAGGAAAGAUGGCAAGCCAGAUCUCCCUAGGUUGAGGACUCUUAAAAGAUAUUACAAUGGAAAAGUGAGGCGUCAGUUGUUUGCCGUUCUUUGGAUUCUGAUGAUUUUCCUCGAUUGCAAUAUAAGGACUGUGUAAGCUUAUCGAGAGGGGAGGAACGGAUGUGGAUGAAACAACCAGCUUAAUCAAAAGCCUUCCUCUGUCCUUUCCACCGGUACUUUUUCAUCUUAUUUUUUAUGCCAAACCCGCCAGAGGAGCAAUUAGGCGGGGCAUCCAUUGAACAAAAAACGACAGCAUCAGCCUCUUCCCUUCCCUGAGUCUUCAUCAAAAGAAUUACAUGUUUUGUUUGCUUUUGAAUGCUUGAAGAAACAAUUACCAUGGAGAUAAGAUCUGCAUAAUCCAUAUUUCCUCUAAUCAUAAAGCACACUAUGUGACAUUCCUGCCUAUUUUAAGAAUACUUAUGUAGCCAGGUACACAUUUUUCCACCCAUGGCUUUCUCAAAUCUCACCUUUUCUGGACUUAUUCUGCCCCCUACUGGGUGUGGCGAUUUUAUUUUUUUAAUUAAUUUUAAUUCUAAUUCUCCCAAUAAAGCUUUCAAUAUGCAACCUUGUUUUUAUGUCCUCAUUCAGGGAAGCGUAGCCUCAGAGUGUGCUGCUCACAUUCGUAGUGUCUUUCCCGUGUCAUUU
ensembl:lncRNA